rnacentral:rRNA from 1 species
GCUUAGGAAUCUGCCAAAUAGUGGGGGAUAGCCCAGAGAAAUUUGGAUUAAUACCGCAUACGCCUCGGGAAGGCAGGGAGUCUUCGGACCUUGCACUAUUGGAUGAGCCUGCGUGAGAUUAGCUAGUUGGUGAGGUAAUGGCUCACCAAGGCGACGAUCUCUAGCUGUUCUGAGAGGAUGAUCAGCCACACUGGAACUGAGACACGGCCCAGACUCCUACGGGAGGCAGCAGUGGGGAAUAUUGCACAGUGGGGGAAACCCUGAUGCAGCCAUGCCGCGUGUGUGAAGAAGGCCUCGGUU